rnacentral:rRNA from 1 species
CCUACGGGAGGCAGCAGUGGGGAAUAUUGCACAAUGGGGGGAACCCUGAUGCAGCGACGCCGCGUGAGUGAAGAAGUAUUUCGGUAUGUAAAGCUCUAUCAGCAGGGAAGAAAAUGACGGUACCUGACUAAGAAGCCCCGGCUAACUACGUGCCAGCAGCCGCGGUAAUACGUAGGGUGCAAGCGUUAUACGGAUUUACUGGGUGUAAAGGGAGCGCAGGCGGGUGAGCAAGUCUGAAGUGAAAUGCGGUGGCCCAACCCCAGGACUGCUCUGGAAACUGUAAAGCUGGAGUGCAGGAGAGGUAGGCGGAAUUCUUGGUGUAGCGGUGGAAUGCGUAGAUAUUAGGAGGAACACUAGUGGCGAAGGCGGCUUACUGGACUACAACUGACGUUGAGGCUCGAAAGCGUGGGGAGCAAACAGGAUUAGAUACCCCUGUAGUC